UACGUAGGGAGCAAGCGUUGUCCGGAAUCAUUGGGCGUAAAGCGCGCGUAGGUGGCCUCGUAAGUCCGCUGUGAAAGUCAAAGGCUCAACCUUUGAAAGCCGGUGGAUACUGUGAGGCUAGAGUACGGAAGAGGCAAGUGGAAUUCCCGGUGUAGCGGUGAAAUGCGCAGAUAUCGGGAGGAACACCAAUGGCGAAGGCAGCUUGCUGGGACGGUACUGACGCUGAGGCGCGAAAGCGUGGGGAGCAAACAGG
rnacentral:rRNA from 1 species